CAUAGUUUGGUGUCCUGAGUUUUGUCCUCUUCUAUUGCAACGCAAAAGAAACAUAUGGGCUGUACUGCAUAACGAAAUGCCUGAAAGUGGUGGCUGUGGUGGAGGGGAGCACACAAUUGGAUAGCUGUGAUUAAACAUAAAAUGUAGCUGCUUGUUUGAGUUUCCAAGGUAGUGGAUGAGAAAUUCCUAUUUAACAAAGUAAUCC
rnacentral:lncRNA from 1 species